rnacentral:rRNA from 1 species
GACGAACGCUGGCGGCGUGCCUAAUACAUGCAAGUUGAGCGCUGAAGGUUGGUACUUGUCCCAACUGGAUGAGCAGCGAGCGGGUGAGUAACGCGUGGGGAAUCUGCCUUUGAGCGGGGGACAACAUUUGGAAACGAAUGCUAAUACCGCAUAAAAACUUUAAACACAAGUUUUAAGUUUGAAAGAUGCAAUUGCAUCACUCAAAGAUGAUCCCGCGUUGUAUUAGCUAGUUGGUGAGGUAAAGGCUCACCAAGGCGAUGAUACAUAGCCGACCUGAGAGGGUGAUCGGCCACAUUGGGACUGAGACACGGCCCAAACCCCUACGGGAGGCAGCAGUAGGGAAUCUUCGGCAAUGGACGAAAGUCUGACCGAGCAACGCCGCGUGAGUGAAGAAGGUUUUCGGAUCGUAAAACUCUGUUGGUAGAGAAGAACGUUGGUGAGAGUGGAAAGCUCAUCAAGUGACGGUAACUACCCAGAAAGGGACGGCUAACUACGUG